CCGUCGGCAAACAUGUGGCGUUAUACCCGGCGCCGUGGCCGAUGGUUUCCGGAUGAUUAAGCGAAACGAACAGCGCGCUUAUUCUCGCAAUGUUCGGAGCGGUCCACGCCGUCCGGCUCGUUCUGGAACUCCACCCCAGAGGAUUGGACUAAAAGCUGAGCACGACGCGCUGCCUUUCGCGCGCGGAGCGAUUAUAUUGAAGUUGUUGUCAACAACCGAAAGGAGGUGGUCCAGUGUCUAUAACC
rnacentral:misc_RNA from 1 species